rnacentral:rRNA from 1 species
CAGUAGCCGCGGUAAUACGGAAGGUCCAGGCGUUAUCCGGAUUUAUUGGGUUUAAAGGGAGCGUAGGCGGAUUAUUAAGUCAGUGGUGAAAGACGGUGGCUCAACCAUCGUUAGCCAUUGAAACUGGUAGUCUUGAGUGCAGACAGGGAUGCUGGAACUCGUGGUGUAGCGGUGAAAUGCUUAGAUAUCACGAUGAACUCCGAUCGCGAAGGCAGGUGUCCGGGCUGCAACUGACGCUGAGGCUCGAAAGUGUGGGUAUCAAACAGGAUUAGAUACCCGCGUAGUCCCUGUCUCUUAUACA